rnacentral:misc_RNA from 1 species
GUGAAUCAUCGAAUUUUUGAACGCAAAUUGCACUCUCCUCGGAGAGAAUGCCUGUUUGAGGGUCAGCGUAUAAAAUAUAGACAUCGUUGCUGUUUUGCGGUGGCGUUCGUUGGAAAUUGGGGCAUUUUAAAUAUUUUGGUUUUAAGCGAAUUAAAAUUUUCUUUUUGGUUCCAUGAAUGUUUAUAAGAUUUCUUUCUUUACACGUUUAAGGUAUCGAUUUUUUUUAGACGUGAACAUCAUAUCGGAUCGG